rnacentral:rRNA from 1 species
UUUGGUUAAGUUAGAAAGGGCGCACGGUGGAUGCCUUGACACUAGGAGUCGAUGAAGGACGGGACUAACGCCGAUAUGCUUCGGGGAGCUGUAAGUAAGCUUUGAUCCGAAGAUUUCCGAAUGGGGAAACCCACCAUACGUAAUGGUAUGGUAUCCUUAUCUGAAUACAUAGGGUAAGGAAGACAGACCCAGGGAACUGAAACAUCUAAGUACCUGGAGGAAGAGAAAGCAAAUGCGAUUUCCUGAGUAGCGGCGAGCGAAACGGAACAUAGCCCAAACCAAGAGGCUUGCCUCUUGGGGUUGUAGGACAUUCUAUACGGAGUUACAAAGGAACGAGGUAGACGAAGCGACCUGGAAAGGUCCGUCGUAGAGGGUAACAACCCCGUAGUCGAAACUUCGUUCUCUCUUGAAUGUAUCCUGAGUACGGCGGAACACGUGAAAUUCCGUCGGAAUCUGGGAGGACCAUCUCCCAAGGCUAAAUACUCCCUAGUGAUCGAUAGUGAACCAGUACCGUGAGGGAAAGGUGAAAAGCACCCCGGAAGGGGAGUGAAAGAGAUCCUGAAACCGUGUGCCUACAAAUAGUCAGAGCCCGUUAACGGGUGAUGGCGUGCCUUUUGUAGAAUGAACCGGCGAGUUACGAUCCCGUGCGAGGUUAAGCUGAAGAGGCGGAGCCGCAGCGAAAGCGAGUCUGAAUAGGGCGUUUAGUACGUGGUCGUAGACCCGAAACCAGGUGAUCUACCCAUGUCCAGGGUGAAGUUCAGGUAACACUGAAUGGAGGCCCGAACCCACGCACGUUGAAAAGUGCGGGGAUGAGGUGUGGGUAGCGGAGAAAUUCCAAUCGAACCUGGAGAUAGCUGGUUCUCCCCGAAAUAGCUUUAGGGCUAGCCUUAAGUGUAAGAGUCUUGGAGGUAGAGCACUGAUUGGACUAGGGGUCCUCAUCGGAUUACCGAAUUCAGUCAAACUCCGAAUGCCAAUGACUUAUCCUUAGGAGUCAGACUGCGAGUGAUAAGAUCCGUAGUCAAAAGGGAAACAGCCCAGACCGCCAGCUAAGGUCCCAAAGUGUGUAUUAAGUGGAAAAGGAUGUGGAGUUGCUUAGACAACUAGGAUGUUGGCUUAGAAGCAGCCACCAUUUAAAGAGUGCGUAAUAGCUCACUAGUCGAGUGACUCUGCGCCGAAAAUGUACCGGGGCUAAAUACACCACCGAAGCUGCGGAUUGAUACCAAUGGUAUCAGUGGUAGGGGAGCGUUCUAAGGACAGUGAAGUCAGACCGUAAGGACUGGUGGAGUGCUUAGAAGUGAGAAUGCCGGUAUGAGUAGCGAAAGACGGGUGAGAAUCCCGUCCACCGAAUGCCUAAGGUUUCCUGAGGAAGGCUCGUCCGCUCAGGGUUAGUCAGGACCUAAGCCGAGGCCGACAGGCGUAGGCGAUGGACAACAGGUUGAUAUUCCUGUACCACCUCUUUAUCGUUUGAGCAAUGGAGGGACGCAGAAGGAUAGAAGAAGCGUGCGAUUGGUUGUGCACGUCCAAGCAGUUAGGCUGAUAAGUAGGCAAAUCCGCUUAUCGUGAAGGCUGAGCUGUGAUGGGGAAGCUCCUUAUGGAGCGAAGUCUUUGAUUCCCCGCUGCCAAGAAAAGCUUCUAGCGAGAUAAAAGGUGCCUGUACCGCAAACCGACACAGGUAGGCGAGGAGAGAAUCCUAAGGUGUGCGAGAGAACUCUGGUUAAGGAACUCGGCAAAAUGACCCCGUAACUUCGGGAGAAGGGGUGCUUUCUUAACGGAAAGCCGCAGUGAAUAGGCCCAAGCGACUGUUUAGCAAAAACACAGCUCUCUGCGAAGCCGUAAGGCGAAGUAUAGGGGGUGACACCUGCCCGGUGCUGGAAGGUUAAGGAGAGGGGUUAGCGUAAGCGAAGCUCUGAACUGAAGCCCCAGUAAACGGCGGCCGUAACUAUAACGGUCCUAAGGUAGCGAAAUUCCUUGUCGGGUAAGUUCCGACCCGCACGAAAGGUGUAACGAUUUGGGCACUGUCUCAACCAGAGACUCGGUGAAAUUAUAGUACCUGUGAAGAUGCAGGUUACCCGCGACAGGACGGAAAGACCCCGUGGAGCUUUACUGUAGCCUGAUAUUGAAUUUUGGUACAGUUUGUACAGGAUAGGCGGGAGCCAUUGAAACCGGAGCGCUAGCUUCGGUGGAGGCGCUGGUGGGAUACCGCCCUGACUGUAUUGAAAUUCUAACCUACGGGUCUUAUCGACCCGGGAGACAGUGUCAGGUGGGCAGUUUGACUGGGGCGGUCGCCUCCUAAAGUGUAACGGAGGCGCCCAAAGGUUCCCUCAGAAUGGUUGGAAAUCAUUCGUAGAGUGCAAAGGCAUAAGGGAGCUUGACUGCGAGACCUACAAGUCGAGCAGGGACGAAAGUCGGGCUUAGUGAUCCGGUGGUUCCGCAUGGAAGGGCCAUCGCUCAACGGAUAAAAGCUACCCCGGGGAUAACAGGCUUAUCUCCCCCAAGAGUCCACAUCGACGGGGAGGUUUGGCACCUCGAUGUCGGCUCAUCGCAUCCUGGGGCUGUAGUCGGUCCCAAGGGUUGGGCUGUUCGCCCAUUAAAGCGGUACGCGAGCUGGGUUCAGAACGUCGUGAGACAGUUCGGUCCCUAUCCGUCGUGGGCGUAGGAAAUUUGAGAGGAGCUGUCCUUAGUACGAGAGGACCGGGAUGGACGCACCGCUGGUGUACCAGUUGUUCUGCCAAGGGCAUAGCUGGGUAGCUAUGUGCGGAAGGGAUAAGUGCUGAAAGCAUCUAAGCAUGAAGCCCCCCUCAAGAUGAGAUUUCCCAUAGCGUAAGCUAGUAAGAUCCCUGAAAGAUGAUCAGGUUGAUAGGUUCGAGGUGGAAGCAUGGUGACAUGUGGAGCUGACGAAUACUAAUAGAUCGAGGACUUAACAUU